AAAAGCAUCUCUUCUUCUCUCUGAGAAACACUUGUGAUGGCAUAUUAAAUCCCAUUACUUUGAAAAUCUGCUAGGAUUAAAUUCUCAGAUGUUCUUAUUUUUACCUAAACUUCUUUGGAAUCAAUUUGCUUCAAAAAUUUUAUAGCCUCUAUUCCCUCUUCUAUCUUCACACUGCCUACUCCCACUUGCUAGAACCAAAUAUUUUUAAUUUUUCUAGUUGUUUCCUCUGGAAAUUAU
rnacentral:lncRNA from 1 species